rnacentral:rRNA from 1 species
CCUACGGGUGGCAGCAGUGGGGAAUAUUGGACAAUGGGCGAAAGCCUGAUCCAGCCAUGCCGCGUGUGUGAAGAAGGCCUUCGGGUUGUAAAGCACUUUCAGUGGGGAAGAAAGCCUUGGGGCUAAUACCCUCGAGGAAGGACAUCACCCACAGAAGAAGCACCGGCUAACUCCGUGCCAGCAGCCGCGGUAAUACGGAGGGUGCGAGCGUUAAUCGGAAUUACUGGGCGUAAAGCGCGCGUAGGCGGUCUGAUAAGCCGGUUGUGAAAGCCCCGGGCUCAACCUGGGAACGGCAUCCGGAACUGUCAGGCUAGAGUGCAGGAGAGGAAGGUAGAAUUCCCGGUGUAGCGGUGAAAUGCGUAGAGAUCGGGAGGAAUACCAGUGGCGAAGGCGGCCUUCUGGACUGACACUGACGCUGAGGUGCGAAAGCGUGGGUAGCAAACAGGAAUAGAUACCCGGGUAGUC